rnacentral:rRNA from 1 species
GACGAGCGCUGGCGGCGUGCUUAACACAUGCAAGUCGUACGGUAAGGCCCUUUCGGGGGUACACGAGUGGCGAACGGGUGAGUAACACGUGAGUAACCUGCCCACAACUUUGGGAUAACGCUAGGAAACUGGUGCUAAUACUGGAUAUGUGCUCCUGCUGCAUGGUGGGGGUUGGAAAGCUCCGGCGGUUGUGGAUGGACUCGCGGCCUAUCAGCUUGUUGGUGGGGUAGUGGCCUACCAAGGCGGCGACGGGUAGCCGGCCUGAGAGGGUGACCGGCCACAUUGGGACUGAGAUACGGCCCAGACUCCUACGGGAGGCAGCAGUGGGGAAUAUUGCACAAUGGGCGCAAGCCUGAUGCAGCAACGCCGCGUGCGGGAUGACGGCCUUCGGGUUGUAAACCGCUUUCAGCAGGGACGAAGCUUUUUGUGACGGUACCUGCAGAAGAAGCACCGGCUAACUACGUG